GACAGAGGUGGCAAGCGUUGCUCGGAGUUACUGGGCAUAAAGGGCGCGUAGGCGGUCGUGCACGUCGGGGGUGAAAUCUCCGGGCUCAACCCGGAAACUGCCUUCGAUACGGCGCGGCUAGAGUGCGGUAGGGGAGAGUGGAACUCCUGGUGGAGCGGUGAAAUGCGUAGAUAUCAGGAGGAACGCCGGUGGCGAAAGCGACUCUCUGGGCCGCUACUGACGCUGAGGCGCGAAAGCCAGGGGAGCAAACGGG
rnacentral:misc_RNA from 1 species